rnacentral:rRNA from 1 species
GUCGGUGAACAUGAGCGCUGGGAAACACCUGUUCCCAUCCCGAACACAGCAGUUAAGCCAGCGCUGCCGAUGAUACUGCACUGCGGGAAAGUAGGUCAUCGCCGACU